UAGCCGUAAACGAUACUCGCUAGGUGUCGGCCACGGUGCGACCGUUGUCGGUGCCGUAGGGAAGCCGUGAAGCGAGCCACCUGGGAAGUACGGCCGCAAGGCUGAAACUUAAGGGAAUUGGCGGGGGAGCACCACAACGGGUGGAGCUUGCGGUUUAAUUGGAUUCAACGCCGGAAAUCUUACCGGGACCGACAGCAACAUGAAGGCCAGGCUGAAGACUUUGCCGGAUUAGCUGAGAGGAGGUGCAUGGCGUAGUCGUG
rnacentral:rRNA from 1 species